GAUGAACGCUAGCUACAGGCUUAACACAUGCAAGUCGAGGGACCGGCGCACGGGUGAGUAACACGUAUCCAACCUGCCCUUUACUCGGGGAUAGCCUUACGAAAGAAAGAUUAAUACCCGAUGUAAAGGAUGGGGAUGCGUUCCGUUAGGUUGUUGGUGAGGUAACGGCUAACCAAGCCUUCGAUGGAUAGGGGUUCUGAGAGGAAGGUCCCCCGCAUUGGAACUGCGACCCGGACCAAACUCCUACGGGAGGCAGCAGUAAGGAAUAUUGGUCAAUGGGCGUUAGCCUGAACCAGCCAAGUAGCGUGAAGGAGGAAGGCUUAUGGGUCGUAAACUUCUUUUAUAUAAGAGUAUGUAUUAUAUGAAUAAGGAUCGGCUAACUCCGUGCCAGCAGCCGCGGUAAUAC
rnacentral:rRNA from 1 species